rnacentral:rRNA from 1 species
UACGUAGGGUGCGAGCGUUAAUCGGAAUUACUGGGCGUAAAGCGUGCGCAGGCGGUUCGUUGUGUCGGCGGUGAAAGCCCCGGGCUUAACCUGGGAAUGGCCGUCGAAACUGGCGAACUGGAGUGUGGCAGAGGGGGGUGGAAUUCCGCGUAUAGCAGUGAAAUGCGUAGAGAUGCGGAGGAACACCGAUGGCGAAGGCAACCGCCUGGGCCUGUACUGACGCUGAGACACGAAAGCGUGGGGAGCAAACAGG